rnacentral:rRNA from 1 species
CCUACGGGAGGCAGCAGUGAGGGAUAUUGCACAAUGGAGGAGACCCUGAUGCAGUGACGCCGCGUGAAGGAUGAAGGCAUUCGGUGUUGAAAGCUCUAUCAACAAAGAAGAAAAAGGCGGUACGUGAGUCAGAAGCCACGGCUAACUACAUGCCAGCAGCCGCGGUAAUACGUAGGGAGCAAGCGUUAUCCGGAUGUACUGGGUGUAAAGGGAGCGUAGACGGCGAAUAAAGUCUGAAGUGAAAGCCCGCGGCUUAACCGCGGAACUGCUUUGGAAACUUGCUGGCUGGAGUACAGGAGAGGUAAGCGGAAUUCCUAGUGUAGCGGUGAAAUGCUUAGAUAUCAGGAGGAACACCAGUGGCGAAGGCGGCUUACUGAACGGUAACUGACGUUGAGGCUCGAAAGCGUGGGGAGCAAACAGGAUUAGAUACCCUAGUAGUC